AGUGGAUAUGGGGUGGUACUGUGAAUUUUUUGAACAUAGUACGGCCCAUGUCGGCUCA
rnacentral:pre_miRNA from 1 species